CACGUAGGGGGCAAGCGUUGUCCGGAUUUAUUGGGCGUAAAGAGCUCGUAGGUGGCUCGGCAAGUCGGGUGUUAAACCCCCAGGCUCAACCUGGGGACGCCACUCGAUACUGCUGUGGCUAGAGUCCGGUAGGGGAGCGUGGAAUUCCUGGUGUAGCGGUGAAAUGCGCAGAUAUCAGGAGGAACACCAGCGGCGAAGGCGGCGCUCUGGGCCGGUACUGACACUGAGGAGCGAAAGCGUGGGGAGCGAACAGG
rnacentral:rRNA from 1 species